CAAAAUUUCAAUUGACCCGAACUAAGACCGAAAUCGCAGACCCUACAACUCUACAGUGAUUAGACACCGCUCGUAACGCUUUCAAUUUUCCUUUUAUUUUGAACAACCGUGACGUUAUCCUCUCCGUUUUAUUACUUUCCCAUUAACUCUGUCUCUCUAGAGCACUCCUUUCUAGAUAAAGCCAAUUCCACACUCCCUUACUUCCACAUCUUUUUUCUUCUUUUAAAGCUCACUACACCGUUUGAAAACCAGAGGAGAGAGUGAGAGAGAAAAUGGCAGCUCCCAACCUGUUCUUGUUCUUCACUGUUUUUCUUUCCUUUUCCUUCCAUCUCUUUCCCUUCACCCUCUCUCGCGACAUACCAGAGAUUACCGCUUCUCGCACUGUGACCACAAUCCUCGAUGUGUCGUCAUCUCUCCAACAGGCUUUGAGCAUCCUCUCUUUUGACCCACAAACCACAAACCCCUUCUCUCAGCAGCAGCAGACUGUUCCCUCAUUUGCCAAUUCUACAUUUUCAUUUUCGCUUCAGCUUCAAUCUCGUGAAACCAUCCAUAAAACCCAACACGAGGACUAUAAAAGCUUGGUCAUGUCUCGACUCGAUCGAGACUCUUCCCGAGUGAAAGCCAUCAUCACCAGGGUAGAACUCGCCCUCAAUGGUAUAUCCAAAUCUGAUCUCAAGCCCUUGGACGCUGAGAUCCAGCCCCAAGAUUUAUCAACUCCGGUUACUUCAGGCACCAGCCAUGGAAGUGGCGAGUAUUUCUCUCGGGUUGGAGUCGGGAACCCGGCAAAGUCCUACUACAUGGUUUUGGAUACUGGAAGUGAUGUGAACUGGCUUCAAUGCCAGCCCUGCUCCGAUUGCUACCAGCAAGCGGAUCCCAUCUUCAACCCAACGGCGUCGUCUAGCUACGCCCCAAUAUCUUGUAAUUCUGCGCAGUGCAACUCUCUUCAAAUGUCUAUGUGCCGGAGCGACCAGUGUCUUUACCAGGUCAAUUACGGCGAUGGAUCCUUCACCAUGGGCGACUUCGUCACCGAGACGCUGUCGUUUGGGAGCUCGGGGACCGUCAACAAAGUUGCUUUAGGCUGCGGUCAUGACAAUGAAGGAUUAUUUGUCGGCGCUGCUGGGCUGCUCGGACUGGGGGGUGGCCCUCUCUCACUCACAUCACAGCUCAAAGCGUCGUCGUUUUCUUAUUGUCUAGUGAAUCGUGACUCAACUGGAUCUUCCACUCUGGACUUUAACUCGGGCCCAGUCAGCGAUGCAGUCACAGCUCCCUUAUUGAGAAGCAACAAAAUCGACACAUUUUACUACGUUGGACUCACCGGGUUGAGUGUCGGCGGCCGGUUGCUUUCCAUUCCACAAUCCGUUUUCCAGAUGGACGACUCGGGUAACGGCGGGAUCAUCGUCGACUGCGGGACCGCAAUAACUCGGUUGCAGAGCCAGGCAUACAACUCACUGCGAGACGCGUUCGUGAGCAUGACACAAAACUUGAAACCCACUGGCGGUGUGGCUUUGUUCGAUACUUGUUAUGAUCUGUCAGGGCAAACCAGUGUCAAGGUACCUACGGUGUCGUUCCAUUUCUCAGAAGGAAAGUCGUGGAACUUACCGGCGGCGAAUUAUCUGAUCCCAGUGGACUCAGACGGCACAUACUGUUUCGCAUUUGCUCCAACGACGUCGUCUUUAUCGAUUAUAGGAAACGUGCAACAGCAGGGCACACGUGUGAGCUUUGACCUGGCUAAUAAUCGAGUCGGGUUCUCGAGCAAUAAGUGUUAAAAGUAGUGUUGGAUUGGUCAUUAAAAUGACCUUUUUAUCCCUGGUAAAGAAGGUGAUUGGCUAUAGUAGAAUUCUUAUUCUUAGAAUGAAUUAUAAAAGGAACGAAAAUGAAAGGUGGGCUUAAGUGAGGCCCAUCUAAAUAAAUUACAAGUAACUCUUGUGUGGUAGGGUCAUUAAAUUAAAUAUAAUUGUACUGGUGGAUGUUGAGCCGCAUAAUGGCAUGUAUAGUAAAUUAUUUGAAAAUGCAAGGAUAAUGAAGGGUAUGGAGGUUGAUUAUGAGCUGUAAAGGCUUUGCAUGUGUGACAAGUGGCGAUGUGAGUGGACGAAUAAUGAUAUUUGGCUGCUUUAUGAACAGGGAGAGGUUUGUCUGUUGGGAGUACGUUGAAAAUUAAAUAAGGUUUUUGUAUCAAGUAAAAUAUAAUUAAUUAAAGAAGGAAGCGGUGGGUUCCAUCGGAGUCCGUGAUAUGGGGGACAGUCAUGUGAUGGGCCCACCCAGAGGGUGGAUUAACAGUAGAAGACCGUGAACAAAGGGGAAAAAUUAUUGUGGCCGAGGUGGCGUUAUCUGCUACUUGGCUCUUUCUGACAGGUGGGACAACAACCGUGAUUGUCGGCAGGUUUUUAAUCAGUCCAUUCUGGAUUUGCAUGGUAAAACGCGGUGGACAGUUCGGCAGGUCAAAUUAAACGUGUUUUCUUUUAAUUAAAGUGUAAAACGUUGCCGUCAAGUCAAAUUAAUUUAUAAAUUUUAAUAUACUUA
rnacentral:misc_RNA from 1 species